GCCGCCGUAGCUCAACGGUAGAGCACCGCUCUUGUAAAGCGACGGUUAUGGGUUCAAAUCCCAUCGGCGGCU
rnacentral:tRNA from 4 species